UUCUUGGUGGCUCAGCAGGUUAAGGAUCCGGCACUGUCGCUGCUGUGGCUCAGGUUCGAUCCCUGACCCAGGAA
rnacentral:tRNA from 1 species